CCAACUUCAGGUUAUCUGCCCACCUUGGCCUUCCAGAGUGCUGGGAUUACAGGCGUGAGCCACCGCACCUGGCCCUUUCUUUUUUUGUCAUCUCAACUGAGCUUUUCCUGACGGGUGAAGAGAAGGCCUCUCACCUUCUCUUUUAAGAAGUGUAUUUAAGGGAUAUUUCAGUUGAUCAUAAAAUGAAAGAUUAAUUGGUUUAUUUGUGGUAAAUUAAUCUGAUCUUCAAAUUCUUCCCUGUAUUUUUCUGUGCUUUAUGUUCACCUGCAGUAGGAAGGAGAAGGGGGGAAAGCUAUCUUGCUUGUGUGGCUUACAGAUAGACAUAAGAAUUUCCAGGGAAAAGUACAGUUGGAAAUGAUUUGCCAUCUCAGGAAUAGGAUUUAAAAAGGAAUACACCUAGAUCAGGCGUUCAGUGUACAUUAUGGUCAUAUUUUACCCGAAAGUUAAAUAUUCUUAAAGUACUGUUCCAAGUGGGAGAAAGGAUAUGUAUUCUUAGAGAGUCUUCAUGGUCCUGGGCGUUGUACUAUGGGUAACUCUUAGCUCUUCACUCUUAAGCAGCUGGACUCUAGCCAUGUUUACCUGGAGGUAAGUAAGCACUGUUAGAAUACUGGUUUAUCACCAGGGAGCACCAUUUGUGAAUAGUUUGGGAGGACAAGAGCAGAACUGUUCUUUUUGCAUGUUUGUUUUUGAAGGCCUAGCUCCUAUUUGUUAAUUCAGUUAAUAAUUGUUCCUUUUCUGAAGCUCUCUAAGCUUCCAAAACAGGAAUCCACUGCAUUUUACUAAAGGGUCUUAACUAAGUGGUAAUGUGGUGGGAAAAUGAUGUAUAUGCUCUCAAUUCUAUGUAAAUAGCACACCUGAACUACCAUGUUAGGAAUAUAUUAAGGUUGCCAUUAAUGAAAAUUUCUUACCUUUGAAGUGGAAUUGAAAUUUAAUUUUAUUUACUCCAUAUAUACAUUUACAUCAAGUUUAGUCAUUUACUUAGAUUCAUUGAGGAGAAAUAUAUUUGAUAAUGUACUCAAACAAAAAAUCAGUAAAUUUGAAUAAAGCUAGCUUAUAAGUUUGAACUUGAUUAACUCAGUCAAAACAGAAAAUGAAUUGUUGGAAUUCACAUGGUGGGAAAAGUAUCUUAGAAAUAAAUAGGUAUUCAGAGUGAGAUAAAGAAAUACUAAAAUUUUUAUGUAGAUUUGGCUUAUGUUGGCCUUUAAUGAUAUUCUAAUUUCCUUCUGUUUUGAGUCAGCAAAUUUUAGGACAUUUAUGAAUAUUAAAGUU